AUACGGAGGGUCCAAGCGUUAUCCGGAAUCAUUGGGUUUAAAGGGUCCGCAGGCGGUCAAUUAAGUCAGAGGUGAAAGCCCAUCGCUCAACGAUGGAACUGCCUUUGAUACUGGUUGACUUGAGUUAUACGGAAGUAGAUAGAAUAAGUAGUGUAGCGGUGAAAUGCAUAGAUAUUACUUAGAAUACCGAUUGCGAAGGCAGUCUACUACGUAUAUACUGAUGCUGAGGGACGAAAGCGUGGGGAGCGAACAGGAUUAGAAACCCUAGUAGUCC
rnacentral:rRNA from 1 species